rnacentral:rRNA from 1 species
AUUCAACGGCCGCGGUAUCCUAACCGUGCGAAGGUAGCGUAAUCACUUGUUCUUUAAAUGAGGACUAGUAUGAAUGGCACCACGAAGGUUAUACUGUCUCCUUUCCCCAAUCAGUGAAACUAAUUUCCCCGUGAAGAAGCGGGAAUAAAAAUACAAGACGAGAAGACCCUAUGGAGCUUUAAACAAUGCGAUAACUGCUACUAAUCUAUUAAACCCCCCCGGGCCUCUAAAUUAUUUUGGCACUUUGACGCAAGUUUUAGGUUGGGGUGACCGCGGAGCAUAAUAUAACCUCCACGCUGAAAGAAUCUUAUUCUUAGCCAAGAGCUACUACCCUAAGCACCAGCAUACUGUCAUCUAUUGAUCCAAUACAAUUGAACAACGAACCAAGUUACCCUAGGGAUAACAGCGCAAUCCACUUCAAGAGCCCCUAUCGACAAGUGGGUUUACGACCUCGAUGUUGGAUCAGGGUCUCCCAGUGGUGCAGCCGCUACUAAAGGUUCGUUUGUUCAACGAUUAAAACCC